rnacentral:rRNA from 1 species
GUGCCAGCCGCCGCGGUAAGACAGAAGGUGCAAGCGUUACUCGGAAUCACUGGGCGUAAAGCGUCUGUAGGUGUUUUCCCACGUCUGGAUUCAAAUCGCGGGGCUCAACCCCGCGCCCGAUCUGGAAACGAGGAGAAUUGAGUCAUUCAGAGGCAUCUGGAAUGUCGUGUGUAGGGGUAAAAUCCGUAGAUACACGAUGGAACGCCGAAAGCGAAGGCAGGAUGCUAGGAAUGUACUGACACUCAGAGACGAAAGCGUGGGGAGCAAAGGGGAUUAGAUACCCCCGUAGUCC